rnacentral:lncRNA from 1 species
GAAAAAUGUUACAAAGCGACAGCGAGGAUUUGGCCGUUAAUAACGACUCAAAUUUCGUCCCUGGUCUCACACUGUUCUAUUGAGGAGAAAUGAAAAGCAGUUAGGACUUCUUCAAAAAAUCGUACUGUGUUCUCUACAGAAAAACCAUACUCGUCUUGAACGACACGGGGUACCUUGUUUUUCUCAGCUUGAGGCAAUGGCCCUGGCCAUAAUCCAUCCUUGGUUGGAAGUGGUUGCGAAGACGUUGCUAUGUAGUUGCUAAGGUAGUAAUUGUUGGCACAUCACUAGAGUAGUCUGGCUGGUUGCUUGGUGGAUGCUUACCCAUUUACCCCCAAGUUUAUAUU